UCAUUUUCCAUCUAUGACGCAAGUUUUGUAACAAUUAGCGACCGGUUUAUUGAUAAAACUCUAGUUUAAUUUUAUAUUGAGAACAAUCGUUGGAUAUUUAAAGUUCGCUUCUUGUUCUCAUCAAUUACAUACAAGACAAAAGCUACCAAACUCUUGAUAAGCAACAAUCGUUUUAAAAGUCAACACAAUAAAUCAAAAUGUCCAAAAUUAUUUUGCUGUUAUCGAUAUUUAUGUUAUUGUUUGGGCUUGUGGUAAACCAAGAGGACGAAGAUGAUUGCUGGGGUUUUCCAUGUGCUACCAAUUCAAAUUGCUGUGCAGGAUUCUAUUGCUCAAAUCCUUUAAGCCCGGACUCGUAUUGUCGGGACGAAUAAACAAUUCGUGAAAUCUCAAAUCGAGGCUUCAAUAAUUCAACUUUAACAUCUAUUAAGUUAUUCCUUCAAAUAAAAUUAUGUAAGACGCAUAAAUGGAAAAAUAAAUAAAAAGCAUUGCGCUAUCAAAAUAAA